AGCUUUGCGCAGUGGCAGUAUCGUAGCCAAUGAGGUUUAUCCGAGGCGCGAUUAUUGCUAAUUGAGAACAAAGUGAAAAGUAAUAGUUAUAUAAAAAAGUUUAACUCAAUUUCUCAAUU
rnacentral:snRNA from 1 species